CAUAAACAGACAAACAACAACAGCAACAAAAGGUGGCACAGUGGAUUGAGUGACAGGCCCAGAAUCAGAAGGACGUCUCUUCCCAAGUUCAAAUCCAGCCUUAGACACCAAACUAGCUGUGUGAAGGAAACUAAGCAUCUGUAAAAUGAACUGAAGAAGGAAAUGGCAAAACCACUCCAGUAUCUUUGCCAAGAAAAUCACAAAAGGAAUAACAAAAGUCAUACACAAUUGAAAUGACUGAACAACAAAACAAAAAGCAAACGACUAUUCCUGGAGCAACAGAGAAGACCGAGACUCGUGUUUAUUGCUAUAAUCAAAUAAAACCUACAACAAAGUUAAUCUGACCUAUAUUAAUGAAAUGCUUACGAAUCAUUGGGCUGAAUGGUCACAGAUCCCUUGCAGUCAGUAAUAAAGGGACUAACAUCUGCCAUCUGGGAUUCCAAGGGAUAGAAGAGAGAAGAUAUAGGUUGUGCAUAUACACAGCUUAGCAGGGCAACUGGCCAAGAAGAAAGAGAGGAUCCAGUUAGCCUUCUCUGAGUCAUGGGAGGUGAGACAUUCUACUGUUUAUAAGCUUAUAGGACAACAUAAAUCUGGAAGAGCCGAGAUUUGAGAGGGAAUGAAUAGAAACAUAGAAAGAAGUUGUGGACUCAGACUCCUUUUUCCCCUUUUCAUAUUCUUUCUCUAUCUUCCUCCUAAGAUUCUUGAAGUAUAUCCAUCCUUCCCAAACAAGAGCUUGGUGGUAUGGUCAUAACUUGUUAAAUACUGUAAUUAAAAUACUUCCUUUAUUAACUUAGUGAUAACACUUUUUUUCUUCUUCUUAAAUUACAUGUUAGCAUUUUGUUAAUUAAAUUUCCAGUUCCAACAGAACUCCCCCCAUAGGGUGUGUUAGUCGAGGAGGGGGCCCUGCACAGAGCAGCAGGGGUUGUGGUUCAGCAAGUUGGGCAGGUUUUUGCCUUUCUAAGAGUUAGACCGUCCUUCCUUCCACUGUAAGAUGGUGGGAAGUAGUCAGUUAAACAGCAGAGGAAUACAUGGAGAUAAAGUUGCCUUCUCACCUUGAACCAGAAAACCAUAAUCCUGAAAAGAGAAAUCAGAACUUUCCUUUUCUUAAAAUCUUGAUUCAUUUUUCAGAAGAAAUUGAGAUUUCAUAAUUGCUUUUGGUUUUGAAGGCCUGGGUGUAAUGAGCUAUGUGUUUCCAUAAACAUUUAUGCUGUAUGUUUUUAUACACAACACAUUUUUAUUAUUAUUUUUCUUCUUUCCACUUGUUAGAUCAUAAAUUCCUAAGGUUUAGAAACCAUAUUUUCUGUUCUUUGAUAUCUCCCCCACUUUCACUCUAGCAUAUCCCACACACCUAUCUAUCUCCACACAUAUACAUAUGCUCUCACAUAGAACUUAUGUCAGCUGAAUACUGAUGCUGUGGUUAAUUUUAUUCUUCUCUUCUCCUUCCCAAACUGAGAUGCAAACAAGAUGAGAAAUUUAUCCCCUGAAAAUUCUCUAGUGGCAAUGAAGAUACACAGACCUUCUCUUCCUUUUUCUGCUGUUACUGACCUUCAUAUUUCUGGUUUAAUUCAGUUCUAUAAGUGGUUAUUAAGCACAUACUGGGAAUGAAUGAGUGAAUGAAUAAUGAUUUUAAAAUGUAUUUAAGAAGCACUUAUAUGGAUGCUUAAAAGUUCUUAGUUUGUUUAAAAGAACUGUAUUAAAUGUUGGGGGCAGCUAGGUGGUCCAGUGAAUAGAGU